UACGAAGGGGGCUAGCGUUGUUCGGAUUUACUGGGCGUAAAGCGCACGUAGGCGGAUCUUUAAGUCAGGGGUGAAAUCCCGGGGCUCAACCUCGGAACUGCCUUUGAUACUGGAGAUCUUGAGUCCGGAAGAGGUGAGUGGAACUGCGAGUGUAGAGGUGAAAUUCGUAGAUAUUCGCAAGAACACCAGUGGCGAAGGCGGCUCACUGGUCCGGUACUGACGCUGAGGUGCGAAAGCGUGGGGAGCAAACAGG
rnacentral:rRNA from 1 species